rnacentral:lncRNA from 1 species
CCCUGAGAUCAUGGAGGGGUGAAGAUGGUCCUUCUUCCUCAGCUCUCUCUUCUACACCUUUAGUCCAACCACUAUCAGUCCUAGUAAAUCCCAUGCGGUGCAGAGUAUGUUGGUUGAUGGUGUCAUAGUGAGAAAGCCUAGCUACUGCCUCUCCCUCAAAACUAACUCCAAACCUCCUGAAUACCAAAGUGAGGGCCAUACCGAAAGGCAGAUGUGCCUUGGAUCUAUUCAGGGUUUCUCUCAUGGCCUCAAUCAUUAAUGCUGGGAGGUUCAGGGGGGUUUGGGUAAUCACAUGAAACAUAAUGCAGAUGUCUC